rnacentral:rRNA from 1 species
AGUGUCGUACGGGUGCGUAACACGUAUGCAACCUACCUUGUACAGGAGGAUAGCUCGGGGAAACUCGAAUUAACCCUCCAUAAUAUGUUUGUGUGGCAUCACACGAACAUUAAAACUGAGGUGGUACAAGAUGGGCAUGCGAUUGAUUAGUUAGUUGGCAGUGUAACGGACUACCAAGACGAUGAUCAAUAGGGGACCUGAGAGGGUGAUCCCCCACACUGGCACUGAGAUACGGGCCAGACUCCUACGGGAGGCAGCAGUAGGGAAUAUUGGACAAUGGGUGAGAGCCUGAUCCAGCCAUGCCGCGUGCAGGAAGAAGGCGUUAUGCGUUGUAAACUGCUUUUGCCAGGGGAUAAAAUAACUGUGCGCAGUUAAUUGAAGGUACCUGGUGAAUAAGCCACGGCUAACUACGUGCCAGCAGCCGCGGUAAUACGUAGGUGGCAAGCGUUGUCCGGAUUUAUUGGGUUUAAAGGGUGCGUAGGUGGCCCUGUAAGUCAGUGGUGAAAUAUCUCAGCUUAACUGAGAGGGUGCCAUUGAUACUGCAGGGCUUGAGUACAGAUGAGGUAGGCGGAAUUGACGGUGUAGCGGUGAAAUGCAUAGAUAUCGUCAAGAACA